GGCGCAAGUUCUUUAACAGGCUUAUUUAUAGUAGCUUUAGGCAGCCUACUCUAAGCCUUCUGAUUGGCUAGAAGCAAAGUAAGGAAGCAGCCAAUGAAAAGCUAGACCUGCAAGUAUCUUUUACAUCCGCAUUUGUGACGACACACUAAAAUUAAUCCAAUCGCGGACGAAAUCUUACUAACCUUAUUUGAAUACCGCAUCUAUAAAUAAACGUGGCUUUGGUGCCGCCAGUUAUUUUCCCGGCUCUUAGUUAUAGCGUAUUAACUUCACGCCGCAAUGCCUGAACCCACCAAAUCCGCCCCGGCCCCGAAGAAGGGCUCGAAGAAGGCGGUGACCAAGGCGCAGAAGAAGGACGGCAAGAAGCGCAAGCGCAGCCGCAAGGAGAGCUACUCGGUGUACGUGUACAAGGUGCUGAAGCAGGUGCACCCCGACACCGGCAUCUCGUCCAAGGCCAUGGGCAUCAUGAACUCGUUCGUCAACGACAUCUUCGAGCGCAUCGCGGGCGAGGCGUCGCGCCUGGCGCAUUACAACAAGCGCUCGACCAUCACGUCCCGGGAGAUCCAGACGGCCGUGCGCCUGCUGCUGCCCGGGGAGCUGGCCAAGCACGCCGUGUCCGAGGGCACCAAGGCCGUCACCAAGUACACCAGCUCCAAGUAGACUCGCCAAGUAAGCGCCCCCUUACCCAACCCCAAAGGCUCUUUUCAGAGCCAUGCAUGUUUUCAACAAAUGAGGUGUAACCCUUUCAUUACGGAAGCUGUUUUCGGGGAUCUGGUAAUCCUAGCACGACUCAAUUUUUGGUUAGGGCUGAGUAGAAAGUAUUUUCAAGUUACUCUGCAAGUAACACCUACAGUAUAAAUUGCGUGCUCACCAUAAACAACGAUCCUCUACAUCCAUUAUUCCUUCGGUUUCACCAAACUAGACCUUAAUUUUAAAUGGAACGCCAUUGCAAGUGUACAACUCCUGGUUCCGUGGGCCGGGCUCCAAAUUGAUCGUCACGUUGUUGAGGCAGUUGAUAAGGAGCUUACCCAGAGCACAAAGGAGCCUGCUCUGAAAACUUUGUUCUCCUCACCUUUUUUUUUCUUUUCCUUUUUAAUGUAUGGAGGUGAUACUGAAAACAGCCGAAGGCCGUGGGAGCGUCCGGUAAAUGUACGUGGGCUUUUCUGGUCGGCCGGCCUUGCAGCUGCUCCCAUAUCUGCUUGCUCUGAGCAGCCGGCCAGGGAGGGGGCCUCUCUGGGGGAGAAGGGUGGCAGAGUCUAUACUGUAUCCAAAAGUCGCAGCGGGACCGGAAGGGAACGUGUCCGGGCUCUGAGAGGCCUUCCAGUCCUGUCAGUUACUGUCGCCUCUGUCCUAGGAAGUCCUAUUUCGCUUACAGUCUCUGGGAAGCAUUCAGCUGUAAAGUCCUCUGGGCCACGAGACACAGGCCCACUACGCAGUCCCAUCAGGUGUGUGACUGUGAUGAGGCGAUGGAUCCCCCCGGGACCGAGGCCCCCUUCUCAGCACCCUGGCCGCUUCCCUGGCGUGCCCUUGAGAUGAACAACUUCAGCAGUCUCCUCCUUGACUUAUACUCCCACUGCCCUCCACACCUUGGCGGCAGCAAAGAAGACUUAGGAGAGGUGGCGAUCACGCUGGGGAAAGUUCAGAGUUCUUAACCUUCAUUUUGGUGGCGUGGGCACACAGCGCUACAUAGAAGGAAACGCUCCCUUUGCUUUACAUGGACAGCGGCACUUGACUGACCUUUCCUUUCACCAACCAUGAAAUUGCUACCGUGGAAAGGGAACAGGAAUUGUAGAAAAGUGAAGGACUAACGUUUUCGAAUUUUGUCUAAAAGUUUAACCGUGAAUGUUAAGCUGCAUUUCAUAAAUACAAAACAAUAAAAGUAUCACAGCCAAA